rnacentral:rRNA from 1 species
GACGAACGCUGGCGGCGUGCUUAACACAUGCAAGUCGAACGGAAAGGCCCUGCUUUUGUGGGGUGCUCGAGUGGCGAACGGGUGAGUAACACGUGAGUAACCUGCCCUUGACUUUGGGAUAACAUCAGGAAACUGGGGCUAAUACCGGAUAGGAGCUCCUGCUGCACGGUGGGGGUUGGAAAGUUUCGGCGGUUGGGGAUGGACUCGCGGCUUAUGAGCUUGUUGGUGGGGUAGUGGCUUACCAAGGCUUUGACGGGUAGCCGGCCUGAGAGGGUGACCGGCCACAUUGGGACUGAGAUAGGGCCCAGACUCCUACGGGAGGCAGCAGUGGGGAAUAUUGCACAAUGGGCGGAAGCCUGAUGCAGCGACGCCGCGUGCGGGAUGACGGCCUUCGAGUUGUAAACCGCUUUCGACUGUGACGAGGCGUGAGUGACGGUAAUGGGUAAAGAAGCACCGGCUAACUACGUG